GCAGGAAAGACCGGCGGAACCGGCACCGACUAUGACGACGUCGGUGUCGGCGUAGGUGAUCAUGUCUGUCAUGUAACGACGGGUCAUUUCACGAGAGACGAUGGAUUCUUUGAUGGGUGCGAAUUUGAAGGUGUUUAUAUCGUAAGGGGGUGUGGUUAGUGACAUGGUGAUUUUUUGGGGGGUGGAUUUGAUGAUGGUGGAGGUGCGGGUAGCAAUUGGUCUUCCAUUGAAGAAUGAGGAUUUGGGAGUUGAAGAUAGGGAAGUGGCGAGAGAUGCAGUGGCCAUGGAUGCCAUUAGGGGUAUUUUGGGAAGAGAAGAGGUUUAGUGAGAGUUGAUAUAUUUUGUGAGAGUGGGGUGGAAUGGGUUUUAUAAAGGAGAUGAUGAGGUGUGAGAUAUGUGAAAUAUUGUGUGACUAAAAAAUCUAUGAAUGUGAAGUGUAUGCUUUUUGAGAAAUGAAGAUAGAAUUUCAACGGUUCGUAGACAUUUGUCAUUUGAUAUCUGGGAUAUUUUUUAUUUACCUUUUUCUCAACCAAUGUAGUAAUCCAUAUGUGCGCCACAUACACAUCACAAAUAGUGACAUCAAUCAAUUAUUUAUUACAUUUUAUACUCUUUCUGUUUCUUAUUAAUGUCAUAUAUGGAAUUUAGGAUUCUAGAUUGUAUGCUUAAAAUGCAUGUAGUCCUGCACUUAACACAUUUUCAUUUGUCCGAUUGAGAUCAGAAUAUCAGAUGAAUCCGAUUUAAAGAUCCUAAUCUUUAUCGAAUGUUGAUGGCAUAAUUGCUUGUAACUUGAUUGCAUGCAACAUAGAGUCGGAUGUUGGUAAUCAACAAGUCUAACCAAAGAGUUAUUUGUGAAGCAGAUAUUUUAUAAGUUUUCGUCUUCUUCAAGAUUCGGAUCACUCUCAUGGUAUACGUUUCUUUGUUGUGAAGAUUCUUUGAUUAAAGGAGCAUAUUCCUAACAUUGUUUUCCAAUAUGUACUUCAAGUGAGCAACUAUUGCGCAAAUUUUUUGGCCAAGCUCGGACGCUCUUUAAGCUUAGGUGUGAUUUUUUGACAGACUCUCCUAUUGGAGUUAAAGUCACUGUUGAGAUUUGAUGUCCGAAGUUAAGCCUUGUUUUUAGGAUCUUUUUUUUUUUUUGUCAUUCUACAAAAAAAAACUACAAAAAUCAACUUUCUUACCUGAACAAGUGACCCUAGUUUUUUCUCUAUACGUUCUCUUUUUCAUUUUUUUGUUGAGUUUCCGGAUUUCAGUCAAUUUUUUAUUCAAAGUCAUUCAUUUGCAUCUUUUCAUCUCUGUUUAAAUCUAAAUUAGUGAUUUUAUAAAUUUAGGUUUUUUUCUUCGUAAUUUUGCCGUCUGAGUGUGGCGCUGUAUUGUUCGUCGAUUUGUUCGGCUUUGUUUGAUUUUUUAUUUUGUUGUGAUGUUCAUAUCCAGGGACGGACCCAGUGUUCCACUAUGUGGGCCGUGGCCCUCACUUAGUUUAGAAUUUUUUAUUUUAAAAUACUACAUGUUUGGGGUGUGGUAGUGUUUGUGACUGUUGUAGCAGUGGUUUUAAAAGAAUUAUGCUCAUUACCCAAACAAUAUCACUUAUUCCCGAAGUAAAUGUCCAAAAUACCCUUGCGCAUUGUAACACCCCGUUACCCAAAAGUAAUUAAUAAUAAUUAAAUACACAACAUCAGAGUUCAACCCAAACGGGCAUGUCACACUACUAUAUCAAAAUUUCUUAAAUAGAAUAUAAAAAUCUAUUUAUUAAACAUCCAUAGAAAUCAACAUUUAAUCAGCAGCGGAAUAUUAUCAGCAAACAUCAACAAGUGUUUAAACCUCCAAAAUAAUAUCUUGGCAUAAAGCCUGAACAACAUAAAUCAACCAACAUAGGGCCAUAACAUCAAGUUCCAAAAUAAGAUACAUAAGGAAUGAAAUGCAAAUAAGAAAACCCAUCCCGAAUGUAUCAGAGCCCUAGACACGACACUUGAGCCACCACCAACUACUCAGGAUCACCUGCAAGUUACCCAUAGGAAGGGCAACAUUUUCAAGCAGAAGGGGUGAGAUUCACAACAAUAAAAUAUAGAUAUUAAAAUCAUCAAAUGAAUCUAACACCCUAUAAACAUCAAUACAUCAUCUUGUAAUUAUAAAUAUAUAUUUCACAAAGCAACAACAUCAUCUUCAAUAAGGCAAAUGCAACCAACAACAAGACUCAUGCAUGACAUGACGACACCACUAAGACCCCUUAAUAAAUGCAAUUAUGCAUGUGGUACCAAACAGGACCGAAGCUCUCACCGCUUUUGAAUGGUUAAAGCAUUCAUCAGGACAUAAGCCCUCACCGCUGUGAACAACUAGUGCUCCAGGACAUGAGUCCUCCCGCUGUUUAUGCAUAUGCUAUAGACCCACUAGUGUAUAUCUACAUACAACUUGACCAUGCAUACAUUUUCAUAUGACUCCGAAUUUAUACAACAUGUAUGAUUUAAUAAAUAUAACAUACAUUACAGCCAUCAACAACAUCAUCAAACAGUAAUCCAAGAAAUCCAGGAAGAUGCACAAUUAAUCACAAUUAUGCUCAAACAUCAACAUCAAUCAUCACCAUUCAUAUAAUACAAGCAUCAUACAAAAACUGGGCAACUCGCCUCGCGAGCACAUCUGCUCGCUAUGGCGAACUCACAAAAUAGGUUGCUCGCCAUGGCGAGUUCAAGGCGAACUCGAGGCGAGUGAAAAUAAAGUGCUCUCGAGAGUUUUGACAUUUUUCUCACUCAAACUUCAAUUCUAAGCUCCCUAUUCAUCUUUUUAAUCUAAAACUUGUUCCAGUCCUCUCUAAAAUCAUUUAGGUACAUUAAACUAACCAAUAUACAUCUUAUAACAACAAUUUGAAAAUCAUGUUUUAAUCUGGGUUACUCGCCACGGCGAUUUGGUCUGCUCGCGGGGCGACCCAUGAAGUUGCUCACUCGCGUGGCGAGCACAAGCUACUCGCGAGGCGAGCGAUGAACUUCUGUACGGGCAGAAAACAGGUUUUUCCUCCAAAAUCCCAUUUUUCUUCAAUUCACUCCCCAAAUUAGUUUACAGAUGUGCAUGAACUUGUUGUAUGCACUCAGAACCUAUUUCUAACAUCAGAACAAAAAUCUCUACCCCAAAAUUAUCCUUUCAUCACAAAAUUCGUAAUCCCCAAUACUCACCAAAAAUCUGUUGAACUCAAAAUCAGAAAUUAACAUCUAUACUACUGAAGCAAACCUCACCCUUACCUUAAAAUUGCAUAAGAAAUGCACAGCAAAAUCAAAUCUUGGCUCUGCUUGCUCUUCUCUCCCUUUCUCCCAAAACUGACAGUUUUCACGUAAACUGCUUUCUGACUCUUUUCUUACUUUCUUAACUUCCUUCUCAACUUCCCAUUAUUUCACUUAACUCCCCAUUAAUUUUAAUAAAUUCUAUUAACUCCCCAAACACCAAAAUAAUAAUUGUUUCUCACCUAAUCAAAUUAAUAUUAAAACCAACCAUAUAAUAAAAUAUAUCACACCACAUAAAUCACCAAUAUUAAUUAAAAUCAUAUAAUAGACUCUAAAUAAAUUAAAAUAAAUAGAUAUAUCGACUAGGGUGUUACACGCAUGUUAACAUGCGCUCGUGUAUUUUUUUUUACCUAUGUAAGUCACACUACGCGACUUAACAUGCGCUAGUGUAUUUUUUUUACCUAAGUUAAGUCACGUAGCGUGACUUAACUUGCGCUAGUGUAUUCUGAGCGUGAGUUAACUCGCACCAGUUGGCCGGUGCAGAACUGAAGAACAACCGUUUUUUGGUAUGUGGUCAGUUUUUCAACAUUCAAUCCACACGUUUUUAACACUAUUUUACACUUUUUUUGACCACAUUAAUGGUGUUUACAACCUAUACUACCAUUCCCACCUAUAAAUACCCCUCCAUACUUCCCUAAUUCCUCACACCAUAUCACUUUCUCCCCCUCCUCACUCUCUCCCUCUAUUUCUCUUCUUUCUUUCUUUUUCAAUAUUCUCUUUGGGGGCAAAAGUGCUCAAUCUUCGUCGGGAUAAAAUAGUGAGAAGCCGACAUGGGGAAGUGAUCGACCCUUGGGAUAAUUAAUUUUUUUUUUUUUACUCCAUAAACUUUUUACCGUGGGUAAAAAGAUUCUUCUUGGGGUAUAAAAAAUCAAAUUUAAAUUUUGCCCAAGGGUUGAUGAUGUAUUUUUCCCAUGAAGGCUGCUCACUAUUUUACCCCGUGAUGAUUGUUUACUUUUUACCCCAAAGAAGGAGAAAAUAAGUAGUGAAUUUGAAUAAAUUAUUGUAAGAAUUAUUGUAUUGUAUGAAUUAUUAAUAGAAUGAGAAAUUGUUAUAUGCCUCAAUUUAGUUCAUUCCUUUUUAUUUUAUAUUUGUUUUUAUAUUCCAAUUUUGUAUUUAAUGAAUAAAUAUUAAUUUAGUUCAUUUACUUUUAUUUAUAUUUGUAUUUAUUUAAUGAAUAAUAUCGAAUCAAUAUUUAUUUUAAGUGCAUAAAUAAAUUAGAAUAAAGUAAAUAAAUUAAUUUGAAUAUAGUAAAUAAAAUAAUUUAGAUUAAUGUAAACAAAAUAAUUUAGAUUAAUGUAAACAAAAUAAUAUAGAAUAAAGUAAAUAAAAUAAUUUAGAAUAAAGGACUAAAUGUAACCAAAAAAUAAGAAUAAAGACCUAAUUGAAAAUUAUUUAGUGCAUAUGUUUCAUAUGCACUAAAUGAUCAGUCAAAAAAUAGUAAAAAAAACGUGUAAAACUCAAUAAAAGUGUUGAAUAAUCGACUAAAGUUCAUAAAACGUGUUGUUGAUCACCGGCCAAACUGGCGUGAGUUAACUCACACUAGUGUUAACCUGGGUGUGAGUUAACUCGCUAGUGUUAAUCCUGGCCUCAAGAACUCACGUUCUUUUGACUUUGUUCAAUGCAUUUUAAUUGUUUUUACACGUUUUUGUUAGAUAUAACCUAUGUUACAAUCUCCCCCUAUAAAUACACCUCUAAACUUCUCCAUUUUCUCACUCCAACUCACAUUCUCACUCUCCUCCUGACUCUCUCCUCCUCACUCUCUCCCCCCAUGAAUCUUCCUCCUUUCCUUCUUUUUUCCCUUCUUUAUUUUGGUGUAAAAAGAGAAAGAAUGAUAAAUAGUGGGAAUGUUGGGGAAAAGAUAAGUAAUGAGCAGCUUUCAUGAAAAAAGAAUCAGAUUUCCUAAAACUAAAUGUGCAGAUUUAGUUUUACCCCAGAAAGCUAGGUUUUCUGGUGGUUUUCUUUUAGUUUUACCACAGGGAGGUCGGUUUUCUUUUAGUUUUACGCCCUGGAGAUAGGUUUUCUGGUGAUUUUUAUUUUUUCGCAGAUUUAGUUUUACCCCAUUGUAAAUGCAAUAAGAACUAUAUUAAUAAAAUGAUAUUUUAUAUCUAUUAUUUUUGUUUUUUUAUUUUUGUUAAUUGUUGCAUUUAUUUUAUGAUUGAUUGCGUGCGUACUGAAUUAAAAAUUCGAGUAAAGUCAAUAAUUAAAUUAGAAUAAAUUUAGCGUGAAUUCGAAUAAAAAUUGGGACAGCGUGAAUUCGAAUAAAAAUUGCGACGGCGUGAAUUUGAAUAAAAAGUCUAAUUAAGGUUUCGUUACAUUACAUGCACCUUUCAACUACAACAAUUGUCUUACCCGUGAAUGGGGCAAAUUUAAACUUGUUAAGAAGCAGGACUCCAAUAUUCCAUCAGCAUCUUGAAUGACGGUAUUCAAGUGUCAAAAGAAUGAGGUGCAUUCCUUGACACUUGAAUACCAGCAUUCAAGAGGCUUAUCGAAUAUUGGAGUCAUGCCGAUUAACAAGUUUGAAUUGCCCCAUCCAGAGUAAGACAAUUGUUGUAGUUGAAAUGUGCAUUCCAACUACAACAAUUGUCUUACCUUUGAAUGGGGUAAAUUCAAACUUGCCAAACAACAGGACUCAAGCAUUUCGCCCCGCAUUCAUGUUUUUCCUUUGAAAAGAAUAAAUUUUUGUUAAGCUUGCUUUAGAUGAUGGUAUUCAAGUGCCAAUGAAAUGAGGUUCAUUCCUUGACACUUAAUACCCUCAUCUAAACCAGCAUAACAAGAAUUUAAUCUUUUCAAAGGAAAAACAUGAACGCUGGGCGAAAUGCUUGAGUCAUGGCCGUUUGGCAAGUUUGAAUUACCCCAUUUCAGAGGUAAGACAAUUGUUGUAGUUGGAAUGCACCUUACCAUAACUAAUGACGAUCUUCUGGCGAAAUCAAGCUGUUGAUGACAUCUUCAGUUGAUCUCAGCAACGUUACCCGCAUAUCGAUCAACUAGAAAAUAUUGUGCUCCCAAAACAUGCUCGUCACGUUUUCGUCGUUCUUUAACUCCACCCAAGUGAAUGAUAUUCUCCCCUCGUCGAGCGUUGGACGUUUAUACCGAACGUAUUCCACCCUCCUUGCAUCUCUGGGGUUGACUCCUUGAUUGAAUUCAUUCAGUUGAUCCUUGAGACCUCUUAACGUUACAUCAAGGCACCGAACCUUCAACCUCUGAGGUUCUCCGCCGUUGAAUUUUGCAUGAACGUCGAUCCACCCGACCAUUGUUUCAAAUCUACACAAUAAGAAAUUAAACACAAUCAAUGAAAAACUCAUUCCAACAUUUUUAUCAAACACUUGGUAAAUUAUACAUAAACCCUACAACAUAAACAUGCAAACAUCUAAAUAAUUAAGCAAUAUUACUCAUUUGCAUGUAACAUUGGGUCAUAUCUUGCAAAAAAAAAAUAAAAAAUUUAAACAAACGCUAAAUCUAAAAAAAUCUAAUCUAAGUGUAAAAAAUCUAACAUAGUAUCUAAACAUCAUAACAAUUAAGCACUAUAAGUCAUUUGCAUGUAAUAUUCUAUCAUUUCUUGCAAAAAAAAAAUUAAAAUUUUAACAAAACAAUAAACCUAAAAAAUUAUAGAUUAAGUGAAAAAAUCUAUCAUACCAACAUAAUUUAAGUGAAAGCUUACUUGUUCUUAUUGUUGGAGUAUUAUUUGAUUUGAAGGAAUUUUGGAGUUGGGUAAUUUGAGAGAAAAUUGAGAUUUGUGUGUGUGUGUGUUGUGUUUGAAAAUGAUGCAGAAUGAGGUUCUGACUGGGCUAUAAUAACAGCACGUAGCGUGACUUAAGUCACGUAGAGCAACUUAAGCCACGCUGUGUGACUUAAGUUGUAUUCCUCUUAUAACUAGCGCAACUUAAGUCACGUUACGCAUGUUAACAUGUGCAAGAGCAUUUUAGACAUUUAUUUUAAAAAUGAGCGAUACUGUUUGGAUAAUGAAGAGAAUUCGUUUUAAAAUACUACCUAGUAGUUAGUACAUUACAAAGCCUUCAAUAUAAAACAAUUGUAUUAUCCAAUUACUAAUAUGACGUAAGACAAUUGGAUUAAAGAAUAUGUUGGCAAAUAGCUCCAGGAAGUGAGCUUUAAGAAAAAACAAAAACAUAGCCAAUACUAUCAUAACUCAUACAUAGCCAAAGAACAUGCGAGUGGAAAUAGAAAGCAAGAAAUAACCCCAUCUUUUUUUUAUAAGAAGAGGAAAACAAGUCUAUUUUUUAGAGCCUGAAAACUAUUUUUUAGAUGUAUGCUCUAACCGUUAAUUUUUAGAAUCAGGGGGGUUGACGAUCUUUUUAUAAAGCUCAUUGAGACAAAAAAAUAUACGGUGUUUCGCUAGAAUAUUUAUUCAUAGAGUUAUCUCUGGUAUUACUUUUGCGAAAUGCAAUAACGAAAAGACCAUUCUUUGUUAGUAUAUUGUAAAAAUGGAAUGUGAAAUUGCAUGAGAUGAAUGGCCAAAUUACUGGUUUAUAUGUGGCCUACACUGUCGAAAAUUUAUGAGUCCGUCCAUGUUCAUAUCUAAACUAAUAUUAAUCGAACUAAAAAAAAAAAUUAGAAUAAAACAAGAGAUAAAUAUAUUGAUCUAAACCAAAACAAUUGAGUUCAAAUGGUUAAUAACUUCCACCAAAGACGAAUUGUUCAAUACGGUUGUGAUUGAGAUGAAUAUACUCCUUUUGUCUUUUAUUAUAAGUCUCAUUGAUUAAUUUCACACCUAUUAAGAAAAUUUAAACCUCUUUGAUUAAUUUCACACGUAUUAAGAAAAGUUGUAAGUAUAUUUAAUGUGUCUAGUUUAUUUGUGAAUCUUAUUAAAUUGUCAUUGAUUUGUAUUUGUAUUUAAUUUAAAUUUUCACAUUUAAAGGCAAAUAUUAGUAUUAAUUAUUGACGUGUUUAAUAAAAGAUAAUAAUAAUAUACUCAGUAACUUGUAUAAAGACUUAUAUUUAGAGGAUAGAUGGAGUAAUAUUCAUUUCGAUAAUACAAAAUUAAAACUAUAUUGGUGAAACAGGUAGUUAUUGUUUAUAUAAAUAAACAACAAUCAAAGAGAAUAUUCCUUAAAAACAAAAAAAAGAAUAUUAUACUAAACGAAAGAAAAGGAAUGAGGCUACAAAAGAAAUAAUCAAAAGCAAAAAUUUGACAGCUGUGGGAUUUGAACCCACGCCCUUUCGGACCAGAGCCUAAAUCUGGCGCCUUAGACCACUCGGCCAAACUGUCUUGUUGUUAAUAUGAUUUCGACAAUGAGUUAUUUAUAAGAUAACAAUAUUGAUAAGUGUAAUACAGAAAACUAAACAACGCCAUAAAGUCAUCGUCAUUCAUUCCAUGCUUUCCCUUCAGAUUAAAAUUGUCCCAAUGUAAAGGUUUAAUCAAAAGACAUGAGAACAUUUAUUUUUAGUGGACCAAUUAUUUCUGAAAUAAUUUAUUUAUUUUUUAUAACGAUAUUGGUACGAAAUUUUCACCGCCAUUUAACAAUUAUUAAUCUCCUUCAGAAAACAUGUGUGACACAUCUCUACCAACGGAAUAUUUUCCAUACACAUGAGAUAUGAAUUGAACCUAUAACUACAUACUUAAAAAACACAAGUACCUUACCACUUAGACCAAUCCAUUGUUAGUAUUACUAAAACAAUUCUAAAAGUAGGUUAUUGAAUGACUUUUUUAAAAUGAUGUUGGUUUGAGGCCUUGAAACGUGCCCUUCUCAAAGUCUCACAUUCGGUUUUUUUAGUGUCAAUUUUGGUUGGUUAGUUUGACUUCAAUUUACUUUAAAUAAAUCAAUUUGUGUAUGCAUUUUUUUGUAGAUAAAUAAAAUGGCAAAUAAUCAUUAAAAUUUAAACUCACAAGUGGAGGUCGAAUUUCAAGUCCCGAUCAUGAUGACUGACCUAACAAUUUUGUUAGUUAAGUUAGAGCUUGUGCUGUGUAUGAAUUUUAUAACGAAUAAUAUAUCAACUGCUAGUUUUUUUUAUCCAUGUUUUUUUUUAUAAUUUGACAUUUCACAUACAAUUACCAUUAUAUUACAUUACAUGAGGGGACAUUUGAGAUUGUGGAUAAUAUAUGGAGUUCUUUUUGAAUAAUUCACUUUAAAGUUUUUUCUAAUAUAAAAAUAACCCUUAUUUAUUAUUGAAGAAAUUGCACUAACAUCAUCUCCCGGCCCGGAGUAGGCAUGACUAUAAAUUUGCAAGGCUUUUUAGUGCUGGAAUAAAAUGGAGAUUAGAUGCUACUAUCAUUCAAGGAAAAAAUUAUUGCUCAUCCAAGAAUUUUUUUCACUUACUGAAUGAUGUAACACAUGUGAAGAAACUUUCAAAUUUUUGUUUAGUAUUAAGAGAUUUACUCUGUGUUAGUUAGCUUCAAAGUUUUCAAAGUUAAAAAGACAUACUAGAGAUGCCUUAUAAUGAAUAACAAGGUGUUUGAUAGGUCCACAUGAUGAUGCUGGAACUGUCUUUUGCAACUACUCAAUGCUUCGAUGGUUUUUCAAGCUGAUGAUCAGAUUUUAAUGUUAGAAAUUUUCUUUAAUUUGAAGUGGAUAGACAAUAAUGCUUAUAAUCCUCUUGGAAUUAUGCUUUGAAUGCGUGUUUCCUUUAACGUCAAAAACUAUAUAUAACAUUAUUUGACAAUGGCUUAAAAUUAUGUUGUAAUUAACAUAUUGAUACUAACACUUGAAGUUGUUGACUUUUGUUGAAACAAGAUGAAACUCACUAUAGUUUUCUUGUUUACACUUAAUCACUUCUGUAUUUGGGUUGAAGAAGAAGAUUAGAGAUGAUUGUUUAUGAAUGGAAAUCACAUUUUCACUACUUUGUUUAUUAAUUUGUAUUGCCUUAUAUAUACACAAUUGUUCACAUACACACUGUGAAUCAUAACCACUCUAACUUCCAUAUAAUUGAAAAACUGAAAAAUCCUAAAAGACAUUGCUUGCACAACAGGCAAAGCUCACUAGUUGACUAGUUUUGUAUCAACUCCUAAUAAAUGUGGUAAGAUUAUAAGAGGUUAAACUUGUAACCACAAAAUACAAAGUUUAAAUUCUCUCAAAGACAAUUGUAAAUUAGUAAUUAGUGCAACUUUAAUUAAUUAAAAUGUUUUACAUUUCCCCUUAAAAAAAAAAUUCUCCAUCCCCAAUUUAGAAAAAUAAUAUCGAAACUUUUUUAAACAAUGGCAAUUCUAAUCACCUUGAUCUUUAUCAUAAGUAAUAAAGUUUGAAUUCACUUACCCCAAAGGUUCAUAGGUUGAUUUUCCCUUGAAAGUUCCAAUAAAGGAACUUCAUGGAGAACUUGUUGAAAGAAGACCCGUUAACCGAGUAUUGUGUGUCUCAACUGCUUCUUUUAAUUUAACUUGCAUUUUCUUUGACUUCUUUAUUCGUUAAGUAGUAAAAGAAAUAUCGUCUGCGAGGUGUGGAUCCCUCUACUGUCCAAGCCUUUUCAAUUUUAUAAAUGUCAUCAAGCACUACUUUUUUUUAAAUAGGGUUGGACCGAAUUUGGAUGGAGGAGACAUCCUAAAAUAUGAUGUGCUCUCAAAUAAGGUAUGUUGUUCCAUAUGCCUAUAUAUCUCCUUAUCAAUUGCUCAAUAACGGGAGACCUAUCACGAUGGAGUGGUCGAUGUUCGAAUUCCGAUCACGACAUUUGAACCCAUAUCAGAGACAUUCAACCUAACAAUUUUGGUAUUUUUGCCGAUUGUACUAGGACUUAUAGACAACAUUUAAUUAUUUGAUAAUAAUAAUAGAUAAUUGGUUUAAAUAGUAAAUGUUAGUUUUUUUUUUUUGUUAUUUUGCUAGUGAGGUAGCUGAACUCUUGACUUUUUUACCCUCCAAUCUGUUCCUUCUAAAAACCACCAAGUCACCUUCUCACUUCACAUAAAAAAUGAUAUUAAUUAUCCUAGUUUUGCAUCUGUCGAGCAUGAAAGCGAGAGGUUCAUGAGUUUGCAUUAUUGGUAGACCAGCUCAGACCGAUGGAUCACGUUCUUACAUGCAUUAAUCACUGAACCUUAACGCUACACCGUCUCUAUUUUCAUUCUUGUGCAAUUAUUUUUCUUAAUAAAAAUUCUUGUGCAUUUUCUAGAUUCUAGUCUUGUCAACCAUUGCAAUUUGCAAAAUGCAGCCUGGCUAAGGUCCCACUCCCACAUUUGUUUUUUACAUUACCAUUUGCAUUAUUGUCGUUCUUCAUUCACCAAUAUACCCUUGUCUUGUAUAUGCGUCACCUCCUAUACUUGCUAUGAUCAAUUUCACGACCCUCAUUUAUUUAUUCUUACUAAAAAUUACACUAUGUAAUUUUUUUUUUAAAAUUUCUAUCAUGUUGCGGUAAAUGUGAGUUAGAAGUCCUACGUUAGAUAGAAAAAUGAGCGUUGAACAAUACAUGAGUAAAAAAACUCGUAAAUCUAAUAUUUUAAUAUUUUAGAUUAAAAUGUGGUUGCUCUUGGUCUUUUGCGGACAAUCUUUUAGGUUAUCUCAUGAUCUAAGAAAUAUAUCAAAGUUGAUUUUUUGACCGACUCCUUGUAGCGGAAGUCAACAAUGGUGGUCAGAUGUCGUAUCCUAUUGACGAUUCCUAAACUAUGGUGAAAGUGGAUGAAAAAGCGUAUAUCCAUGAGAAUGGAUGAACUCACACUUGAGGGAGAGAUCGUUGUGUCAAAUGUGAGUCAUAAAUCUUACAUUGGAUGUAAAAAUGUCCGUUUAACAAUAUACAAGUAAGAUAAUUCAUUAUAAACUCAAUAUCUUAAAAUUUUGAGUUAAGAUAUUACGUCCAACUCACUUAUAUAAUUGCUCUUUAUCCGAUAUGAAUCAACCUCAUGACCCAACAAGUUAAUUUGUCGGCAAGUUGUUAGAUAAUAUAUUGUCUAUAUUAGUAAAUGCAAAUAGCAAUACUUCCACGUAAGUUUAAUAAAAUCUACAUCAAUUUCAACAAAAGAAAAAAAUAUCUAUUUGUAGAUAAAUACUAGUAAAAUCUAUUUGAGAUCUAGAGUGAGUGUCUCUAGCAAUUUUCAUUAUUGUAUGUAUACAUGUAAGACUUUGGGGUGAUGCUGUUAUAAGUGAAUGGACAAAUUUGUACAUUCGUCACAUGCAAAUUUAUUAAACAACUAAACAAAGUGGAACAAUAGCAUAUGAUGUUACAACUGUAUGUGCAGAAAUCAUUUUCAAAGUUAACAUUAUUUAUUGAACUUCCAAACCUCGGGUUCAGAGAUCCAGAAGCAGAGAAUCUCUCCAUUCUCUUGAACCAAAAUUCUCCUCCUACCCAAAAUGGAUGGAGGGUCCUUUUCUUCAUUUUCCAUUCUUCUUUUCCUUGCAGCCAUAGUAGCUGUUUAUCAUCAUUCAGCAGAAGCAGCUAUGUCUAAGGGAUCAUUUGAAGACAACUUCAGCAUAAUGUGGUCUGAAAACCAUUUUACUACCUCUACAGAUGGACAGAUCUGGUAUCUCUCCUUAGACAAUGACACAGGUAUCAAAUCAAAUGCAUGAGCAUUUUGUUGCACAUACACUGUAUUAUUAUGUUAUGUUUUCAUUUGAUUAUUUUAUGUAAUCUUAAGUAUAUUUAAAAUAGUACAAAAUACUCUAAGAGUUUGUUCGGUUCUGCUGUCAUAAAAAUUGUUUUUGAUUGAAAUCAAGUUGAAUGUACAAUGAUUUAUGUUUUUAUACAUUCAUUAAAAUAUGAUUUACAUAAACUUACUUUUGGAUAGUUUGGAUCAAAGUUGCUUGUGUGUGUAUGUAUAUAUUAGCUUUUAGAUAGAAUUGAUUUUGGGACUAGGAUCAAUUAUUCUAAAGUUGAAAGUAUAAUUUAUGGUUAAAUCAUGUUUGAGUAAGUUAAACAUUAUUCUGGAAUGUUUUAAUUGUUAGCAUUAAUUAAUGUUGAGAUUUGAGGCCAUUUUUUUAAGUAUUGAAUGUUUGACAGGAUGUGGGUUUCAAACAAAACAAAGAUAUAGAUUUGGAUGGUUCAGUAUGAAGUUGAAACUAGUUGGAGGUGAUUCUGCUGGUGUUGUGACAGCUUAUUAUGUAAGUAAACAAUUACAUUAAUAUUGAAUUUAGUACUAAAUGUGCAUUCUUUGUUGAAUUCCUUUUUGUGUUUUUAUGAAUCCAAUUGAUGGAGUGUUAACAAGAAUAGGGGAUUGUUGCAGAUGUGUACAGAAAAUGGUGCAGGGCCAGAAAGAGAUGAGCUUGAUUUUGAGUUUUUGGGAAACAGAACAGGACAACCAUACUUGAUUCAAACAAAUGUGUACAAGAAUGGGACCGGUAAUCGUGAGAUGAGACAUAUGCUUUGGUUUGAUCCCACUGAGGACUAUCACACCUAUUCUAUUCUCUGGAAUAAUCACCAAAUAGUGUAAGUUCAAUCAUAUAUUACUCUUAUUGGUGUUCUUAAUCUUAUAACCCAAGUCAAAAAAUGACAUCAAAUAUGGUAAUUGAGCUAAGUUGGUCACUUCUUUAUUAUGCUUUUCUCAAUUGUCAAAAAGUAGUUUAGGACUUUUUGUUUUUGGUGGAAAAUAGUAGUGUAGGACAAGAUUGUGAGGUUUAAAGAAACGAAUCUAGUUCAGUAAAAUGUACAAUAUGGUGGACCUAGUUUAAUUAUCAUUGCUAGCUGCUCAUAUGAAUAUGAUAGUAUGUCAUAUGGACAGUAAAAAGGAAAUAGUGUUUCUUUUAAAAAGACCUUAAAUUUCAAGGGUUCAGAUUAUUUAAAAUACCUCAAUUCAAGAUAUUUAUGAUUUUUUUGUUUUUUUUUGUUUUUGUUAAACAGGUUUUUUGUGGAUAGAGUUCCAAUAAGGGUGUUCAAGAACAAUGACAAACCAAACAAUUUCUUCCCAAAUGAGAAACCAAUGUACUUGUUUUCAAGUGUAUGGAAUGCAGAUGAUUGGGCUACAAGAGGUGGACUUGAAAAAACAAAUUGGAAAUUAGCACCAUUUGUGUCAUCCUACAAAGACUUUAGUGUUGAUGCUUGUCAAUGGGAAGAUCCAUUUCCUAAAUGUGUUUCAACCACAACAAAAAAUUGGUGGGAUCAAUAUGAUGCUUGGCAUCUUUCAGGUGAUCAGAAAAUGGAUUAUGCUUGGGUUCAACGAAACCUUGUCAUCUAUGACUAUUGUAAUGAUUCUGAACGCUUUCCAACUUUGCCUGAGGAGUGCUCAUUGAGUCCAUGGGAGUAAUGUAUCAAGGGAAAAUAUAUGAAAUAUCAUUUUUCCUUUAAAUAUCUAUUUUUGUAUCAAAUUUAUUUAGUUAGCAGAGUUUUUAUUUUUUUAUUUUUAUUGAUUUGCUAUUCUUUUUAUUAAUUAUGUAAAAGCAUAUCCCAUCCCAUAAAACAAAAUGAAGUUUACAUGGUUUGAGAAGAGUGCGUAAAUCUCUAUACAUGAACAUGUUGAACGGUAACAAAUUUUACCCCUAAAUGAGCUUUUUUUACUAGAGAUGGUAACAGGUAAUCCAACAAAAUAGGUGUUCAUAGAAAGUAUAUGUAUUGCGUAAAAAAAAGAAAUAUUAUAUGUAAUAUUUUUUUUGGCACAAAGUAUGUGUAAAUGUUUCUUAAAAAAAAGUAUAUGCAAAUGUAAUUGGUAGGGCGGUGCAUAUUCAGACAAAACACACACAUCAUUAAUGAACAAAAAUAUGAGGUGCAUGUGUGCUUUAGAUUUUGGCGAAACAAACAGAAAAUUUUGAUUAUGGGACAAAAUUUAUUAGAUGUAACAACAAAUUUAUUCUUCCAUCAAACUUGGAUUGAAAAGCCAAAUUUCUUCACUUUGUGAUGAUAGAAAUCUAAGCUAAACAAGGGUGUAAUUAUUUAUUACUUCAUCAAAAUAACAACUUAUAUUUUUAAGAUAAAAUUUCUAUUUAUAAAUUCCUUAACCAAUACGUCUAAUGUCUUUGAGACACUAAUUAGCAAAACCUUUAAAUAUAUUACUUUAAAUAUCAUAUGUGAAGUUUAAGUUGUCUUUGAAAAUUUAUGGACAAGUUACCAACAUCAAAUGAAAAUUAAUCAUAAAAGCAAAUUUAUAAGUGACACACAACUAAUUUUUACGCAACUUACAAAUUUUCUCACAUGAUUAAUUUUUAUUGAUCGUUAUAUAAAUUAUUUACAAUUCUUCAAAUGUAACUUACAAAUAACUUUUAAAAAAUGAUUAUUUUUUAAAACAAGUAUAAAAAUAUACUUAAGCAUAUUAUAUUUUAAUCUUCAAAAUUGCAUGUGUCAUAUGAUUUUUCCAUUCUACCAAAUGGUGAAUCAAUUUGAUUUAAGCUUGAUUAUGGUUUUAGUCACGCUAUUUUCAUUUAUUUACGAAAUCUGUUUCCAUUAUAAAAUCACUUUGUUUUGUCCUUAAAAAAAAUCACUUUGUUUUGAUUUUUUUAUAAGAUUUUUAUAUUUAAAAGAAGUUAUUUUUCAUAUCUUAAUGACAUGACAUACGAUUUUACGAUGUAGAGUGAUCAACCAUCAUAAAAUUACAAGAUAAUCAAUUUUUUUUUUUUGAAGAUAAUCAAUUUAAAACUUCAAUUUCAUCAUUUAAAAAUAGAAUUAGAGGAAAGGUUCUUCAAAAAAAAAAAAUACAAAAAUAUGAUGAAAGGACAAACAUUGAGUUAUUUUAAAAGAGAGGACCAAUUAUUUAAAUGCGUAAAAUUAGAGGAAUCAAAAGUGUUUGAAAAAAUAAAAGUGUAAUUAAAAAUGAAGGUGUAUUUAAAAUUGUAAACCAUAAAUAAAUUAGAUUUCAUAUGUUUUAUCAAUAAGAAAAAUAAAUGAUUUGUAACAAAAAAAAUAUCUCUAGAAAAAGAAAAAAUAAAAAUAGAUCUCAUAUAUACUCGAAGUCUGUCGUUUAAGAGAAGAGAGGUUACCCGUAAACAAAAGGUCAAAACGACACGAAUUAGCUGGAAAGGGGUAUAGGGUUUUGAUCCAAAUCUUGAUAUUCAACUUGAAAAUUUCACAAUCAAAUCACUAAUCAGAAUCAUUAUCGACUGCAAUGGUCUGCGAAAAGUGUGAGUUUCUCAUCCUUUUUCUUCAAUAAUCCAUCCAUAUUUCUAGCUUUCGAAAAUUCAAUUGAUCUUUUUGGUGAUUUGAAUUCGUGGUUUUAGGUCAGAAAAAAUUAUCGAAGGUGAUAGUACCAGACAAAUGGAAAGAAGGUGCAAGCAAUACUACUGAAGGCGGUGGCCGCAAAAUCAACGAGAACAAGCUCCUUUCCAAGAAGAACAGGUUCCCUUCAACCUAAACCCUUCAAUUUUUUUAUUUUUUUUUGGCUUAAUUGCACUUUCCCCCUAUAGUUUGCCAAUUGUGCAAUUUUGCAUCCCAUAGUUUUAAACAAGCGAUUUUGCCCUCUAUAGUUUUCUCCCUUUUUGAUUUUAUGGUCUCCAUGACAUUUAGUGCUGAUUUUUAAUCAAUUAAUGUGUGCCGUGUGCCACGUGGGUACAAGAUUAGAUGUACCCAACCAUGGGGUGCAAAACCGCACAAUUGACAAACUAUAGGGGGAAAAGUGCAAUUAAGCUUUUUUUUUUUUUUUACUUUUUUUUUUUUUAAUUAGGGUAUGAAAAGCAUAGUAAUUUGGUCUUAGUACUCUUAUAUUUUAAUUUUAUUAGCUGAUAAUAUGCUAAAGUAAUCAUUUUUAGUUUUAAUAUUGGAAACUUUGGGAUGCAAUUUUCUUUUACCUGCUUAGUAUAACUUCAAAUUUUGAGGUGGGGUGUUUUGGACUAUGAGCCUGUUUGGAUUGACUUAUUCGAGCUUAUGUAGUGGCUAAGUUUUUUGUGAUUGUUUGGGAGAACUUAUGAAAAUAGCUUAUGAUAUUGUUCAUAAGUUGUUUUUAGCUUAUUUUCAUAAGUUGAUUGAGAUAGCUUACGAAAACAGGCAGCUUAUACGAAAAUAAUUUAACUUUAUUUUAUCUUUUGUUGUUAAAAAUUAAAAUAGCUUAUACACAAGCGCUUAUCAUGAUAAGCACUUGUGCUAUAAGCUGCAAAUAAGUUGUUUAUCCAAACAGUGCCUGAAAGUCACGUUGCAUGGUGCAAAAUCAUAUUUGUGCUACUCUUUUUGUUCCCCUUUUUUAAAUCCUAAAGCCACUUAAACAUCAAAACAUGUCAAAAUCAAUUCUAAGAGUCUUGAAUCAAUCUUGCCUCCUCCAAAAGGGAAACCAAAUAUAUACUAUGUAGAAACGAUACUUGGCUGAGGGGGGAGCAAUCUUAGAAAAUGGCAAAGUUCAACUUGAUAGGGUGAGAUUCUCCCAUGAACCAAUAGGCUUUAAUGUUUAAAGGAUGUGCUAUGUAUGUUUGGUCUCGUGUUUUGGUUUGGUGCUUUAAACAUAAUCUUCUUUGAUUUAUUUUUCCGAGCAACGCUUUUUCAUAAGUAGGUUUGAUAUAGUUGGUUGUAUGGUAGAUGCUGUGAAAGAGAAAAAAAUGGAUGGUAGAUGGUGUGAAAGAAACCUGAUGUUUUCAAGUAGUCGUUAACUACGGUCAACUAGUUAGCUAUUUUGAACAACAAUUGAAUCAGUAGUUAUCACUGGGACUUGAUCCGUAAGUUAAUUUUCGGUAUGCUGAUAUGGCUUCUGUUGUGCAUAAACUAUGUAUGUGGUGCACAGUGCGAUAGUAUUUUUUUUAUUUUUUUUAAUCUUUACCACGGGAUACUGCAAUCUCACUAGAUUUAUCAUCGAUAAAACCUGUAUACACUAGAUUUUUCACCUCAGAUCUCUGCAACCAGCUAAAAGCUUGUGCCAUUGCAUCUAAACUCUUUUUCACAGUCUUGAGAGAUAUAAAGCUUGCUAAAGUGGUUGCUAGUGGCCAUUGAAACAAUGACUUUCUAUUCUUUCUUUUUUUAAAAAACAGACUAACUUUUAUUAUGAACCAAAACAAGAGUGGGUACAAGAUUAGAUGUACCCAACCAUGUUUACAGUAAAACAGAAAAUAAGACACCCAGUUUCUUUUGUAGUUUUGGUUUUUGUUUCAUGUUCUUAUUCUACUUUCAGAAUUAUGUUACUUUUUCAGUUUUUGGGGUUAAUUAAUGAUUGAUAAAACAGAAGGAACUCAUGUUGACUUUUUGUGGGAAGGUAAAGAACUAUACAAUCAAUGGAGUUGUGUGUUUGUGAAGAUGAACGGUAUGAGUGAAAAGGGGACCUGAUGGGAGUGGGUAGGUAAGGAAAAAUCUAGCGUGGUGGGUCUAUGAUAUAUCUCGUUGGUCUUUAUAAUCAAAUGGUUAAAAAAUGUUGUGCAUGGUGCACCAUAUACCUAACUUGUGCACAAUAGAAGUUGCCAUAUCUAUUAGAUAUUCCAUGCAUUUUAUUUAAUGUUUUUUUUGCAUUUUAUUUAAUGUUUUUUUUUUCUUGGUGGGGAUUGGUAUUUCUCUCAUAACUUUGCCAUGGUCACUUCCCUCUUCAUGUUACCCUCUACAAUUUAAAUUUCUUUCCCCCCCCCCCCAAAUGUUAUGUUUGUUUUGUCAUUAAUAAUAAUGCCAUGUAAAAUCUGUAUUUUGAUUAAUGUGGCUCUUGGAAAAUAUUUUUGACAUCUACGUGGCUCAAACUUCAGAAUUGCUAGGAUACAUUUUAUCUUUUUAUAUUUCAUAUCUUUUCCUAACACGUGCGCGCAUAGUCUUAGACUCAAAUGAUACUACCUUCGUCCCUAUUUAUAAGACCCUUUUGCCAAAUUUUGUUGUCCCUUUUUAUAAGACCCUCUUCAAAACAAGGUGCAUUAACAUUUUUUUUCACAAAAAUACCCCUAAUUAAAUGAAGAGAUUUAAAACAUCAACCAUAUCUCUCUCUCUUAAUAAUUGAAGGAUAAUUUUGAGAAGAGAAUUUACAUUGUUGACAAAUUUAAUGCAAAAACAAUUUUCUUAAUUCUUGUGCUUUUAUCAAAAGGGUCUUGUAUAUAGAGACAGAGGUAGUACUCAAUAUUAUAAGCAUUGUUUACUAGCUGUACACUUAUAUUAUAUAUCAUGUAAUAAUGACUAAAAGUAUAGUUCUUGCUUAUUACAUGGCUUAAUAAAUAUCGGCCCAAACUGCCAAGGUUUUGGGUUCGGAAUGCACUCUUGAAGGUAUAGUAUAUCAAAUUCUGUUCACUACAUGAGCAAGUACUCUUGAAGGACUGUGCCAUUGCUUUUUCUAAAUUUUAUGCAUUUACUCUUGCACAUGUAUACGACUCUCAAUCUUAUUGGCAAGUUUUGUGUCCAAUUAUAUACUGUACCUUGACCUGCAAGUUUUGUCCUUUUGUAAAUUGUAACUUUUUAUCUCUUGCAGGCCUUGCAUCUUUCAUCUGCAUUUUUUUAUCAUGUGAAAAAUGUUCUUAUUUUAAAUUAAUUCCUUGCAGAUGGACCCCUUAUGGAACUACUAAAUGCAUCAUUUGCAAGCAGCAAGUGCACCAGGAUGGCAAGUACUGUCACACCUGUGCUUACUCGAAAGGUGAUAUUUCAUGUUCAAAUGUUUUCCGUUUGCUGCUAUAUUGUAUCGUGAAAGGACAUAGCUCCAUUCCUGAUGUGUUUUGCAUUUGCAGGAGUUUGUGCGAUGUGUGGCAAGCAAGUUCUGGACACCAAGUUUUAUAAACAAAGCAAUGUGUAGUGGAUUUGUGCUUCAUUUUGCAUCUUUUAGGUGCAUUGUAGCAUUUCCUUUUUACUCAGUAUAGUCUAAUUGGUGGUGUUGCUAACAAUGUAACUGAAGCUGUAAAAAAUACAGUGAGAGUGAGGGGGAUUCUAUUUUCUUUGCCAUAUGUAAUGUACUUGUUGAAUGUUCAUUUGUGAUCUAAAAACAUUGUACCUUUUCACGUGAAAUUCAUGUUCUCUUGGGUUUAUAUGAUGCUUUGAAGUUGAUUAUCUUGCUAAAUCAACUUAAUUUUGGCCAGAAUGCAUGAGGUAAGUUUGGUCAAAAUUGACUUACUUUGAUAGAUGCGUGUAGGGGAUUUUCAAUUUUGGUUUAUGAAUCCAACGAAGAAGUGUGGACUUCCUAUCCUAUCAAGUAUCAACGAAAGUGAUUAUUUAUCUACACAUUUUAUGACGAAUUGCUUGUUAUGACGAAUUUUUUUUUCCUGUUCUACUUCCUGCAAUUCCUAAACCCACGAUUAAGGUUGGCAAAAAUAUUAAAUAUCCAGGAUCGUGGGGGAGAGUUUGACUCACGUGGAAGGGAUGCAUAAUCUUGUUCAAGCAUCCCAAAUGGAAACUAGGUGCUGUUGAAAUGAGCCUGAAUUAACUAAAGAUAUCUACAUCAAACCCUCUACUGUGAUACCAAAGGUUGAGGAGCAUUGCUGUUCCUACAUUUGAUAAGGUUGAUAAGGCUGAGAAACACGAGUAAAAUACGAUUUUGCCCCCCUCGGCAGUUACUGUCGAAGAAUAACUGCCAAGGAAAACCCCGGUAGUUAACUACCGAAGAAAUCUGAAUUUAAUCAUACGCAGAAACAUUACCAUUUCCAAAACUUCUCCAAAAUUCACAAUUUCUCUCCAAUCUUCACCAAAAUCAUUUUUACGAAUUGCAAACAAAUCAACUGCACAUUAUCACAAGUAAGUUGUAUCAAUCAUUUUAAUGAUAAUGUUAGUUUGUUUAGGUUUAUUUUUUAAAAAAAAUUAGAGUAGUUUGCAUGUGGUUAGAGUUGAUUUUAAAAUUGACAAUUUGAUGAUUGCAUGUGUAAUUUAGGAAUUGAUAAAUGAAUGUAGUUGUUGCCUAUGUUGUUUAAAUCAUAAUGUGGCUUUGAAUGGUGGCAAAUGAACACAAUUUGAAUAUGUUUUAUACUUUGCACACAAAGUGUUUGGUAAAAUGCCUCAAUGACAAUUUUAUUGAUUAUUUAGUUAGAGGUUAUAGAAAUGAUGUUAAUUAUAGUUUGGUUAAGUGUAUAUUGAUUUUUUAGUUAGUUUAGGUUACAAGAAUUAUGAUGGAGACAAAUGAUUAAGUGUAUGUUAAUUAUUGAAUGAUGUUUAAGUUAUUAUGGAAAUGAUGGACAUAAAUUUUAUUGUAAUGAUGAUUAUAUUGAAUGAUUUUAUGUUAUGGAAAUGAUAUUCAUUGUUGUACUUUUAAUGAGUUUGAUUAUGUUUAUGUUUAAUUUAGGUUUAAUAUGUUUGAUUAGGUUAUGGAAAUGAUGUUAAUUUUAUUAUUUUUUGUGUAGAUAUGGCCGAUCAGGAUUCCAUUGAUCGAUCUAAGAUGAUUGGUGGUAGGCGUGCGAUGACUCAGAGCCACCGGAGGGAGAGACAAAGCGGCCACAUCUCAAAGAGGGGUAGAGGUCGGAGGGUGGAUGGUUCAGGGAGUUCGCAGGAGGCUUCUCAGGCUCAACAGCAUGAAGAGUCGCAGGUGGUUGACCCGAGCCAGCAGGUGGAGUACCUGAAUUAUCAGGAUCAGGUACACCACGAUGUUACAGAUGGUGGGUAUGACCAGGAUCAUAUACCACAUCAACAGCAUCAUAUAGCAGAUGAUGAUGACAUUGCAGCAGCUGCUGCCCCAGAGGUGUUACCUGUGGACCCUCCCUUUCCUGGAGGACCGGCAUACCUAUCUUUGCUGCACUCUUUUGCCAAUCAUGUGGCGUUGCCACUUUGGUAUAAUUCAGAUAACGUAAGUGUAAUUUUUUUAAAUGCUUUUUCUUUAUGUUUAAUUAUUUUCUUUAUAUGUGUGUUUGUUUAAUUAUUAUAUCCACUUUUACAUGUGUUUUUUUUUUAAUUCUUUUCUUUAUGUUUAAUUAUUUUCUUUAUUUCAACUUUUAUUAUUUUCUUUAUGUUUAAUUAUUUUCUUUAUAUGUGUGUUUGUUUAAUUAUUAUAUCCAUUUUUAUAUGUGUUUUUUUUAAUUCUUUUCUUUAUAUUUUCUUUAUUUCAACUUUUAUUGUUUUCUUUAUGUUUAAUUAUGAUUUAAAUUUAUUUUGUUAUGUGUUUUAUUUAAGUUUUAAGGUUUACAUUUGUUAUGUUUUAUUUUUGCAUUUGUUAAGUUUAAUUUUGUUUAGUUAAAUGUUUACAUUGUUUAAUGUAUAAAUUGUUUAAACUAUGUAUAUUUUUCUAUUAUUUCAGGUUCGUAAGCUGCGUGUGGUAAAACCGAUUAAUCAUGGGGCUAAAAUCUUGAGUCUCGGACGCCCAAUCGGGAAUCAGGAUUGGUUUUCGGAUCCGCUUAGGGAGAGCGGGUUACAUGAUUUGGUUUGCCUGGGCUACGCCACCGUGCCUCAUGCCCUGCUGAUGACUCUAUGAGAGAGGUGGCAUCCCGAGACCAGCACUUUUCACAUGCCCUUAGGGGAGAUGACUGUGACCUUGGAUGAUGUCGCAUGUCUGACGCAUCUUCAGAUUGAGGGGCGGAUGUUGAGCCAUGGGAAGAAGAUGCCGAAACAUGAGGGAGCGACACUACUGAUGAGACACUUGGGUGUGUCGCAGCAGGAGGCGGAGAAAAUUUGUGGUAUGGAGUACGAUGGGUACAUUAGUUACCCGAAGCUGAGGGAGCUAUAUACAAGGUACCUUGGUAGGGCUAACGUAUUGGUGGAUACGGAGGAUGCAGAGGAUAUGGAGGAGUUGCAGAGGGUUAGGACAUUUUGUGUGAAGUCUUAUCUCUUAUAUCUUGUAGGAUGCUUGUUGUUUGGUGAUAAAAGCAACAAACGCAUCAAGUUGGUCUAUCUGACGACCAUGGAGGAGGGCUACGCGGGGAUGCGUAAUUAUUCAUAGGGAGGGAUGACACUCGCAUACCUAUACGGCGAGUUAGCUGAGGCGUGUAGGCCUGGAGACAGAGCUCUUGGGGGAAGCGUGACACUGCUGACGGUAAGAAACUUAUAAAUGUGAACCUUAACUUUUAUUUUUUUGUUAUAUUUUUUGGUGCGUAAUAAUUUAUAAAUGUGAUUUGUUUGGUUUGUGCAGGCAUGGUUUCUGGCGCAUUUUCCUGGGUUUUACAGUGUUGAUCCCAACACUGACUACAUGGAAAACUAUCCGGUUGCAGCGAGGUGGAAGCUUCAGAAGGGUCACGGAGAGGGGGUCACGUAUCGGUCACUGCUUGAUCGUAUAAAGUUUGAUUACGUAUGAUGGAGGCCGUACGAAGAGCACAGGGAGAUCCAGGAUUUUGAGGAGGUUUUCUGGUAAUCAGGCUGGAUUAUGUGCGGUGUUCGUGGGUGUACCGUCACUUGCCCGAGAGGGUUUUGAGGCAGUACAAAUACGUCCAGACUGUCCCCAGACAUCCGACGGAUGUUGUAGAGCGAUCACCGCCUCAGAUUGUGCAGGCAUUCGUCGACUUCCGCGCUCACACGCUUAAGGCGGCCGAUUGGGGUGAGCAGGCAGGAGAGCAGACAUGGCGGAUGGCAGAUGGCUAUGUGCUAUGGUACACUAGGGUGUCUCACCCUCAGAUCUUGCCACCUCUUCCAGGAGAUCUUUCGAGGACAGUAAAUGAAGAGCAGAUCAUUGCACAACAGUGGGAGCGGUAUGAGGCGAGAAGCUCGCCUGACACCUAUGACAUGGUUAGUGGCGCUGUUGCCUACGCUGAUGCGCAGUUAGGCCAGGAGGAGGUCAUGAGCAUGACCCCUCAACAGUGGUUUCAGGCCAUGAGCCAUAUUAGAGAGCAGAUCACGCCUAUCUUGACCAUGAGGCGAGGCCAGAGGCCGAGGAGGAGGCACCAACAGCAUCAGCAGGACCAGGACCAAUAAGUAGUAGUUUGUUUUUUAGGACUUGUUUUUUAGUUUUGGUAUUUUUAUGAUAUUGAUUUGUAUAUUUGUAUUUUGAUGACAUUACUUUUAAUUUCAUGGGAUAUUUUACUUUGUUUAAUGGUAUAUAAAAAUGUUGGCCUAAUUAAGUUGUGCAUUUGUGCCAAGAUUCAUUAUGCAUAAAAAAAACAGGUACAUAUGUUGUGUUUUGUUUGAAACACAUUACAGGUUCAGGAAAUGAAGCUACUGCCUCUGUCUUGGCUUCAGGACGCUUCGGCAGUUUACUGCCGAGGAAAUCCUCGAUAGUUAACUGCAGCCGAUUUUCUAAAACUUCGGCAAUUAACUGCCGAGAGGCAUUUAGAUAAAUUACUCUUGUGUCUCAGCCAAACCAAAUGUGUCAACAGCAAAUCUCAAGGUUGAGUUUUUCGUGAGCGUGCAAGAAGAGCUGAUGCUCAUAUUUGGUAGCCUUAAUCCUCUUUCAAAUUGGCCUCUCAUUGUCAAACUUUCAUUUCGGCUGCUAUGCAAAAUCUUGUAGGUUAUGCCUUAUUCUAAACUUGAUACUCAUCAUUAUUCUCUCUUAGAAUGUAAAAUAGAGUAUUUGUAAGGCUUGACCCAAAAAAAAAAAGAAGUAUUUGCAAGUGCAACCUUCUAAAUUUUCUAAGGGAUUUUCUCGCAGCAUAACGUGCUUAUCGUCCUCAUACCUUUGCAAAUUGGCCUCUCAUUCUCAAACUUCCAUGUCGGCUGCUAUGCAAAGUCUUGUACGUGCUAUGCAUUAUUCUCAAACAUCAUAUUCGUUAUUCUCUCUUGGAAUGCUAAAAUAGUAGUACUUGUAAGUGCAACCUUCUAUACUUGCAAACGACUUAUCCUCCUCAUUAUUCUCUCACAAUAUAACGAGCUUAUCCUCCUCAUACCUUUGCAAACGACUUAAUCUUAUAUAUACAUAGAGGUGGUAGAGCUAUACUUUCAAGAUGAGAUGGUUGUGUUCGUUUUAACUUUUAAGGAUUGGAAAUAAGGGCUAAGUGAUAAAGAUGUCAGAAUUUACUCUGUACUAAUAUAAUAUACCGGUUAGUAAUAUCAUGGUUGUUUAAUCUCAAGGUCCAGCUUAAGGUUAUUUGGUCAGAAGAUUCUUAAAGAUUGAAUUCAUUUUGAAUUUACUUGAGUUAUUUAUGAAUUUAUGCUUAUUGAACUUAGUUUAAUGUUUUUUUUUUGACAAGUCUUAGUUUAAUGUUAUGAUUUAGAGGUUGUUUUCUUUAUUUAUGAUGAUGAUUUUUAUGCACAUGUGUAUAGAACCAUAUACAUAUGUUCGUUGAAGUUGUCGGAAUCGAAUCAAGAGUAUUGGAGUGUUUAUCCGAUUGAAAGAAGGAAAAUUUAGGGUCUGUUUGGUAUCAAAGAAACAUUAAGGGAAGAUUGUAUGAGGAGAGAAAGAUAACUGAUAUGGCUUCUUUUCAUAGUUUGGAUUAAAAUGUGAGAAGGGAAAGAAAGUUACUUUUCGGUGGGCCCGACGUGCAAAAACAAUCCACUCUAUUUUGGGAAGAAAGUGGGAUGAAAGGGUGUUUUACAAUGAAAAGACGUAAACACCUAUAAUUUUUAUUUCCAACUCCAUCAUUUUGGUCCCACUUUUAUUAUAAUUUUUUUUUGUGGCUAUUUUUGUCUUUUUACAAAUAUUCUCAUCUUUCUUUCCUUACACUUUCUUUUUACCAUCGCUAAUACCAAACAACCAAAAAAUCAUCUUACUUUCUACUCUCUUUCCACUCACUUUCAUUCCUUAAACAUUCUUUCCUUUAUGCAUCCAAACAAAGCCUUAGUGUCUUAAUCCGAACUCUAAUAUUGACAAUGAGGAAAAUUCUUAUGCUAGUGGUAUUAUCCAACUAGUGGUUGUCUAUAUUAUAGCUUAAAUCAUUGUCAAGGACAAAAACAAAGUCCAGUUUGCAGAUUUUCAUUAAUUUUUACUCCAUCCGAUCUCAAAUGUAAGCAAUUUUUCACUUUUUAGAUUCAUUUAAUAAAUUAUGUAUAUGGUCCAUAUUAUUAUAGAUCACAUACAUAAUUUAUUGAAUGAAUCUAAAAAGUGAAAAAUUGCUUACAUUUAAGACGGAGGGAGUAGUUAUUAGUGUUAAAGAGUACUAUGGAAAACUGCACUGUUAUGAUUAUUUGCUAAUUUGUCAAGGAUAAGAAAAUCUAGAAGAUGUCAAUCCUAACCUAUUAUAAGUAAAACAUUAUUACGACCAUCGUGCUUAAAUUCCUCAGACCAACACAAUCACAAAAGAUACUAACGCAAUCAAAAGACAUCAUAACAUAAAUGCAAUAUAAAACAUGAAUUACGAAGAACUAAAUUCAUUAUUCACAAAAACCAUCAACGGGUAAAAUCAUACAUCAUAACAUGUGGUGGCAAUUGGCAAAUGUAAAGUCAGGAAAUUUAAGCUACAAGAGGGUUUAAUCUUCUGACAAAGAUUUGCACUGCUUUUCGGUUGGAAAGCAGUGAAUCACAUUCCGGUAACAACUAAUUGUCCUGGAUCUUGCGACCGUAGUGAAUCACAUUCCGGUAACAGCUACAAGAAGGUUUAAUGUUCCUAACAAAAAAGAGGGUUUAAGCCAACAAUUCCCCAAGCUGAGCGCCACCACCCACCCAGUGGCGGAGCCACGUGAGGACAGGGGAUGGCCAUGGCCACCCCAUCAAUUUGUGGAAAUUACCAAAAUACCCUUGGGUUAAAAUGAAUUUUACAACCAUGCCAUCCCCACUUUUUCUAAUACUAACAGGGAAGCAUGCCAAGAAUAUGCAGAAGUGGAGAAACUAGCAUAUAAAUUGCAUAUAAAUUUAUGGAACUUAUUAGUUUAGUAUCAAAUAGGGUCCGUGACUUCUUUAUACAUAACACCAGCAACAUAAGACUCAACCAUUAUCCACCUUGUCCCUACACUCAUCUGGCUCUUGGUCUUGGACAUGACAAGGACACUGAUGUCUUGACUGUGCUUGCUCAAGAUGAUGUAGGUAGUUUAUAAGUUAAAAGAAAGAAAAUCAGAAUUGACAAACGAUAAGAAUCCUCCCAAAUAUUCAAAAAUCAACUGGGGCAAUUUCCGAACUGCUUGAAUGCAAAGUAAUUUUACUAAAUCCAAUGUUGAUAACCUCCAAAUUUUUCAUUUCAAGCUUUCCUAAUAGAUAUUUGUAAUAAUCGAAUAUAAAUUUGUAGUUUAUGAACAUACUUAACAAUCAAGGGCGGACCUGGACUAACAAUAUCAUUGAUUCAUUGGGGCACAAUUUUUUCUCAAAUAAUUAAAUAUUAAAUUCAAUAAGAAGUUACACUAAAAAUAUUCGUAGCAACCAAAAUUACUAAGAAAAUGCUCUAUUUUCCAUUUGUUGAAAAAACAAGAAAUAAGACAUUUGAAAGGUAAAAUCAAUUUUGGAGUACAGACACGAAGAUCGAAUUAUCUAAAUAACCAUCCUGAUUCAAUUACACAAUAAAAAUUGAUUUGAGAAGCUUAAGCAAGAUUAUACAAUUUCAAUCACCUUUGCAAAAUAGAGAUCAAUUUCAAUUUUACUCCAAUUAGAGUUUCAAAAUCAGAAGCUAAAAAUUAUACAAUAAUCAUCCAGAUUAGAACAAAAUUCCAAACCCUAAUGAUAUUAUAGCGAAAACCUAAAAUCUAAAAUAAUUUCAAUUUUAAUAUAGUAAUCAAAAUAGAGCCAAAAUUGGGAGUUUAUAAAAAAGAAGGAAAAAGUGAGAUGACCUAAAAUAGAGAUGUUGGUGACUGGUGUGGUGGUGCUAAGCUGCCGACUGUAGUUGGUGGACGCCGUCGUCGUCGGUGGUGGGCUGAAUGCUGGUGGGUGGUGGCGCUCAGCUUGGGGAAUUGUUGGCUUAAACCUCUUUCUUGUUAGGAACAUUAAACCCUCUUGUAGCUGUUACCGGAAUGUGAUUCACUGCGGUCGCAAGAUCCAGGAUAAUUACCGGAAUGUGAUUCAGUGUUUUCCGACCGAAAAUUUAACCCUUUACUUUACAUAACAUCAAUAAAGUCCUGGAUCUUUCCAGUGAGGGUUUUAACGAAGAUUUGCAUCUGUAAAUCAUAAAUCAUAACAUGAAUUAGAUCGAUACAUCAAACUUGAAUCAGAACCUAAUUCAACAGAUCGGUACAAUAUGAACAGAUAAACCGGAAUCUAAGACCAGAAAUUAAAUUAAAUCAACGUUUUGCCUAUGGAUCUGAUGAAUUUUGAGAUGAACAAGUUCAUGUAAAGCCAAAAGUUUGAUUGAAUUGAAUCAAAUACAACAUAUUAAAAACAACGUUUAACAAAUAUAUCAGAAUAUUUCAAAAGAAACUAUUAGAUUCGUUCAUACAACGAUUGUGUUCAGGAAUCAUGAGUUUAAACAAGCUAUGCAAAACCUACAACAUCGAAUUCAAACAGAUCUACAAUCUUAAGAACGAACACAAUAUCGAUUGGAGAAAAUUCAGAGAGGAAUGGAAAUUACCUUGAAGAGAAGUUAGGUCACAGAGGAGAGAAGAAUUGAGAUUUGUUCGAAGAGAAUUGAGAAUGAGAAUUGUGAAUUGAUAAGGGUGAGAUGAGGUCGUUAUAUAGGAAAAUGGGUCGAUAGUUUAACUAGUAAAAUUGUUACGCGUGUCAUUAUGACGUAUGAUUCGGUGCAAGUUGUUGGGUUGAGCUUGUUUACUGUGAUACGGCAAGUUUUGGACGUAUCCAAUAUGUUCGAGGCGGUACUAGAAUAUUGCAAUUUGGAAGGGUUAGUUGGAUUUAAAAUUUGACGGAGUGAAAUGUACGUGGUCUACUUUUCAUUAUCGCUAUCAUGACGUUACUUCAUUCGAUCCCUCAUUUUUUAUUUAGCCCUCGUCUUGUGAUUUUUAUCCCGGCUGCUACGAAAUUAUAUAACGUUCUUUUUUUGGAAUCGGAUCCUCUCCUUCAGAAUUCUCUCCAUCUCUCUGCUUCAUCCAUUCCUAGCCAUUGGAUCAAUCAAAUGGUGGAAAUUUAAAAUACAAAAUAACUUCAAAUUACAUUUGUCUGCAGUUCCAAAUCCCUACUUCUGAAAGAAAGAUUGAAACAACUCAAAAUCCCCAAAUCCGAACUCAACCACAACAGUAACAACUGUUGACAGUACUGACACCGGCGAUGCGGUAAUGCGCCGACGGUGACGGAGUACAGGUUGGAAAAGAUUAAACGGAACUCCUCCACCAUCCUCCGCCCACAACGGCGACACACGACCUUCGAGUACGGGAUGUUGAUGAUGCUGAACAGACAUGUGUUUUUCCUUACCCCAUCCUCUUUCUGACUUACGGUGGUUGUUUAUAUGAAACAAAUAAAUCCUCUUAAGACAAAACAAACAAACAAACAAACAAAUAAAGUCAUUCCAUUUGCUAGAAAAAAUAUACAAUAAACUGAAAACAGAGGAACACGUUGGUUUUUAGUAAGGAACCAUGACAUCACAGAUUGAAAAUCAAUUAUUCCUAAAGCCAUUUAAUCAUACCAUGUUCAUAAAAUCAAUAUAUUUGAUCGUAGUAAUAAGAGACAAAUUAUAAAAUACACAAUAAAAUUCAUUCAAAGUUCAAGCUAUUUAGAAACUUACGUGAGAAUUUUUGCAGCGAUGAGGAGAGCACAGAGGUGAGCAAUCAUAGAAAUUGAGAUAUUGUGACCACCAUUUUCUUAGGUUGAGAGUGGAGACCGGAGACCUAAAGAAGGGAAGUUGAAGAAUCGUGUGUUGGAGUAUCAAAAUCCCGCCCAAAUUGUUUCAGAGCGUAGAAGUUUUAGGUUAUUUAUUUAUGGCUUAAUAUAUGCUUUGGUCCCUUAACUUAUUUUUGAAUUUCAUUUUGAUCCCUUAAUUUUAAACUGUCUCAAUUUGGUCCCAUAACUUUACCUCCGUUUACCUAAGUGGUCCCUUCUGUUAAAAAAACUAACAGAAGGGACCACUUAGGUAAACGGAGGUAAAGCUAUAGGACCAAAUUGAGACGGUUUAAAGUUAAGGGACCAAAAUGAAAUUCAAAAAUAAGUUAAUAUACCUUCCAAUAUUUUUUUUUUUUACAUUUGACUCAUUAGAAAAAAAAAGUGUUAUAAUAUAUAUAAUAUACCAUCCGAUUUUGGGAGAAAGAAGUAGUGGUAAUUUGAAGUUUGAUUAAUAGGUAAGAAAAUCUGAUCAAUAAUUAUUCUACUCAAUAAUUUAAUUUAGAUUCUUGUUAUAUAGAUUUCAGAAUAUAUUUCUUUUGUAUAUGUUAAUUUAAUUAUUAUUGUUAUUAUUAUUAUUAUUAUUAUUAUUAUUAUUAUUAUUAUUAUUAUUAAUGUUAAAUUUUGUUUUGAAUUGAAAUUAUUUUGAUUUAGAUUAAAAUUAUAGGUAUAGAUAUUAAAAUUAUUUUUAUUAGGCUUAAUACAUGCUUUGGUCCCUCAACUUAUUUUUGAAUUUUAUUUUGAUCCCUUAACUUUAAACCGUCUCAAUUUGGUCUCAUAACUUUACCUCCGUUUACCUAAGUGGUCCAUUCGGUUAGUUUUUUUAACAGAAGGGACCACUUAGGUAAACAGAGGUAAAGUUAUGAGACCAAAUUGAGACAGUUUAAAGUUAAGGGACCAAAAUGAAAUUCAAAAAUAAGUUAAGAGACCAAAACAUGUAUUAAGCCUUUAUUUAUUUAUGUUAUUUGUUUUUUAAUAUUUCCACCAUUUUAUUGAUCCAAUGGCUAGGAAUAGAUGAAGGAGAGAGAUGGAGAGAAUUCUGAAGGAGAGGAUCUGAUUCCUCUUUUUUUAACUUAUAUAAAAAAUUUCGACGGAUAUACUUGAAAAAGAACACACUAGAAAGUCAAAUAAAUUUCGAUAAACACAUAACUACAAAUAUUAAUGUAUCAAGAUAAAUCGGAUCCAUUUACGAAAUCAAUCUCAUCCAACAAAUGUAUAUUUUUUCACAUGCAUCCUCAUGGAUCAGAACCUAAAUAAAAUGUUUUAAAGACUUAAAUAUUUAUAAUUUAUGUCACACUAUAUUGUUUGAAGAUAAUACAUUUUAAUGAAUGUAUAUUUUAUCUCUCAAAAAAAAAAAUGAAUGCAUAUUUUACACUAUUAUUAUAUUGAAGAUCAAAUUAAUUAAAAUGAUAUUUUAUUUGAAUAUUUUAAUGUCUAUUUGAUGGCGAGGAAAAGAGAGACAAAAAAAAAAACAUUAUUAUAUACGAUCGUAAUUCAUUAUUUGAUGAGUUAGUAUAUAGAAGAACUUUAUUCCAUCUUUAUAAGGCCGGCUGCAAUGGUAUUAUACAAAGUGUGUUUUUUAAUAAAGGUAAAUUAUACCCCUCCAAAAAAAAAAAAAUCGCCCCCAUCGUUUUUGUAAAUUAUACUAUACCCCUCCAAAAAAUAUCACCCCCAUCUUUUUUUAGGGGAUCUAAGAUCGUUUUUGUUUGGUUUGACGAAUAGAGAGAAGUAUAUUUGAAUGAAUAGAAAGUAUAAAAUUGUAUUUUACACCAUUAUUAUAUUAAGAUCAAAUUUAUAAAAUAAUAUAAAUUUAAAUAAGAAACCAAACAUCUCCCUUCUAAAUUCCUCAGCAAUUUUUCCCUGUUUAAAUUUCAAACCUAUAUCAUCUCAUUCAAAUUCUCAUAGAGAGUACUCAUUGAUUAAAGCUUAGCUUUGUAAACUCAUGUUAUAUAGUUUAAAUCUCGUCAUAGACAAUUGUAAAAUGAUUAUUAAUAUUACGUAAAUUAAAAUAAAAAUCUUUUUUUUUUUUUUCUACCAAAAAGUGCUCAUGGAGUAACUUUGUAAGUUGUAACCUAUUUAUUUUCGGUUCCUUCAAAAAAAAAAACUAUUUAUUUUCGUUUUUUUUUUCUUUUGUGUGUUCUCCAAGUGUAGCAAUCACAUUCGUGAGAUGGAAUAUUAGAUACAAUAUUGAUCACACAAGUUAGUAAGCCUAAUUAGUUAGCAUGAUGUGAUCUUAAUUUGUGGGCAUGUGUAUGAUGUCUCAUUGAUACAACGUUAGUCACAAAAAUUAAGAUAAAAUCCUACACUGGUUAGUUGCUUUCAGUAUUUUAACAAUUGGUAUUACAUAGCUCAGUUUAUUUUAUGUUUCCAAUAUGUAUUGGAGGUAGUGAGAGAUAGUGUUGCAGCAUUGUUGGAGAAUCCUACAAAAGCUUAAAAGAACAAUUCGUCAGCCAUCAGUUAGACCAUAACGAUAGCCAUUAGACUUUCAUUUCAUCCAUCAAAAUGCAGCGGCUAAUGGCACUGUAUGACUUGAAGUAUCAUUUCAAUUUAACUGAAUUUCAUAAGUAAAUUAACUAGUGUUAAUCUCAAAAGCAGCACACGGAGCAAUUAUAAAAGAUGCAAAUUCAACUUAACAACAACUAUUGCAUACAUUAAAUCGGUAAGAGGUGCUUUCUAAAUUAAAAAAAUUAACGGAGAGCAAAAUUUCAUGUACAUGCUUUAUUUGUUUAUGCACAUCUUCUUCUACAACUAGGCCACUCUCCAAUUAUUCAUUUCAUUGCCAAAUCAAAAGCAUAACUAAGUACAAUUUUAACUAACUAACUAACUAACAACAUAAACUAACUAAGUAACUAAUUAAACUAACAGUUUGUUUAUCAGUGACUUAUAUUUUCAAGAACAAUACACACACGAACAUGUCAAUCUCGUGCCACUUCAAUGCCAUAGACCCGGACACCCAACAUUGACACUAACACUUCGACAUUGAACAACGACCUAUGAAGCAAUGAAGACAAACCCCGACACCAAACACACCUUGACACUAACACAUCGACACCGGACACGCCUUUUAUGAGAAGUGUCGACUCAUUUUCCAAAAUAGAAAUUAGGUGCCACUGACGUGUCCAUCAAAGAGUUCAAUGGUGUCGCCAUCCUGUACCCCGUGCCACUGAAACGACUUAUCUUCAUGCAUAACACUCUGAUUGUGAAUGAAAAAAUAACGACGAUCUUCUGGAAGAACACUGCUGUUGUAACAUUCAAGAAACUUCCUUAAUUCACUGACUUCAGCACAAGAUUCUAUAUCAUCAACGAUAAAAUCAUCUUUCCCCCUGAUAGCCAUUGGAACCACAUUCAAACUCAAUUUCCUUGACGGCGUUGAAAAUUCGGGCACUGGCGGCAAUGUUGCCACGGGUGCUUUCUUUGGCUCUAGGAAGUUCUUUAUAGUAAACACAAGAACAAUUGAAUUGUUUGAAACUCCAAGUUCUUGCAGUGAUUGAUUAUUAAAAACAUGAUCACCUUUGAAAGAUGAAAACUGCACCGACAUUUCGUUUACUGGUAUAUGAGUGUAGACUUCAUGAAUCUUGUGUUUGAGUUGCAGAACAGUGUUGCUUCGGUUGAUUUCAAGAGGAAAAUUUGAGUCGGAUUCGUAGAGUUGGACUAGGAUUCUGAUUGGUGGAUCGGAGGUGAGAUGGAGGUGAAUGGCUGAAGCGUUAGUUAAGCCACUUAGCCAGAUUAUUUGAUCAUCUUGGAGAAGUUGAUCAUUGAAGAAGAACACUUGCUUUGAAACGGGAAUGUUAUGGUGCUUUUCUAUUUUCUUUUUCACUUCCAAGAACGUUUCAGAGUGACCAAUUUCCAUUGUGAAAGAUUCUCCACUCUCCCUCAUGAAAGUCACGUCCAUUUCAAUAAGCAAGUGUAACAAAUGAAAGAUAUUGUAACUGAAUUUAACAAUCACUUGACUUCAUAUAGAGGUAGUUACAAAUCUUAUAUAUAAACAAUUGCAAUAUAACACGUGCCAUGCAAAGGAAAGGUCUUUCAAGAGAUAGAACACUGUCACCGAUCCUUGGAAUUCAGAUUAGAUACAGAGGUGUGUGUGCAGUGAGGUGCAUUCAGCACCUCAGAACCGUCCGAUCUGACAGUUCAAAUUUUAAGACAGUUCUUAAUUUUUUGUUUUAUAUUAAAUUUCAAGGUUGAAAUAUUAACCGUCCGAUCUUAAUUGUGGAAGGUAGUUACAAAUCUUAUUGUGGUACUAUGUACUUUACAUUCUGUUUCCAUAUCUCAUUGAUUAAGGGGUAAUGAAUUAGAAUAUUGCUAGUUAUCACUAGAGAUAAUGUAGCAAAAUUUUCACGAAAGGCUAUUUUGCACUAAAUAUAUUUUCUUAAUUGUAACAAUGCCCUCCCUUGUUUUGUGGCAGCAACAAAAUUAUCUAGCUAUGCUAUAAAUGUGUUGUGAUCCCCUCAGGACCCUCGCGAGCAAUAGCAAUGCUGAAUUAGUUAUUCGGUUCUAUGUAUUGCAUUUCCAAUACAAGCUGUGCCAUGCAAAGGUCUUCCAAGAGGCAGAACAUUGUCAAUCCUUGCAUUGGCACAUAGGAGUAUCUUUUAAUUCAAGGUUACACACACAGUUUUAUACUUUUAUUGUUUCCAAAAUGUAAAUUCACAUCAAUUUGUUUUAAUAAUCACUUGUUACAAUAAAAAAAAUAGUAUCUAAGUUGCUGACUAGUCAAUUGAAACAGGUUCUAUGAAAGGUCAUAUCGAAGAGUCAAAAUGCUUUCUUACAAGGAAGACAUAUCCUAGAUAGUGUGGUGAAGGUGAACGAGAUAAUUGAUAUGGCCAAAAGGUGAAAAGAAAAAUGCUUAUUAAUGUUCUCUUGAUUGGCCUUUUUCAACACUUGGAGGAAGAGACUCCCGCUUCAGCUUCCACAUUCUUAUGUUGCUCGACUGGAACCAUUCCAAUUAUAUUUCUAGGGAUUCCAGUUGGAGCAAAUCCUAGACGAACUUCAACUUGGGAACCAGUUGUGAAAUCAUUUCUGUCACGGUUGUCCACUUGGAAAGGGCAGUUUUUAUCCGUAGGUCAGAUUGACACUUAUCAAUUCAAUUCUUUCGUCAUUGCCGCUUUGCCUUUUCUCAUUUUAUAAAGCUCCAAAGAAGGUUAUAUCACUAUUGGAGCAAUGGAGCAAAGUUUGCAAAGAAAAAAAGAAUGUAGGGCUUGGUGGGAAAUUUUUUGAGCUCUUUAAUUUAUCAAUAAUUUAUUAAUCAUGAAAUGGAGGUGGAGGGCAUUGAAUUCAAUUGAUGGAUUAUGGUAUAGAAUACCGGUGUAUAGAUAUGGUAGACUAGAAAAGUGGUUCUGUUAUGUUGAGGGAAACAUAGCGCAUAAUAAACGCUCUUUGUGGUGGCGCAAUAUUGUCAACAUUGGAGGUGGCACAAAUGUAGCAUGGGAUCAAUUGCAGUCUGUUUUUAAGAGAAUGGGAUCAGGUGAUAACACCAUGUUCUGGCAGGAUAAAUGGUUUGGCUCUUCAAUGUUAAAAGACGUUUUUUCUGGAUUGUUUUGUCUUGCAGAUAUUGGACUGAUUCACGAUGGAGUUGGAGGCUGUGCUGGAGGCGUGAACUGAACAAUAACGAAGGUGAAGCUGUUCAAGCAUUGCUGUAUGUAUUAACAGAAGUAUUGAUGGCAGAAAAUAUAGCAGAUUCAUGGGUUUCGGCUCUGGAUCCACCGUGCAGUUUUACGGUAAAAUCAUAUUACUCAUUGCUGUCUAAGGUUAGUUUUUCAGCAGAAAAUAUGGACGCAAAUAUGCUCAAAGUUAUGAGAAAGUUCAUUACCAAGCAAGGUGCUAAUUUUAGUUGGGGAUUGAUGCAAGAUAGAUUGGCGACAAGAGAUAAUUUGUUCAAAAGGGGCAUCUUAACCUCACCACAUCAAAGGUUUUGUGUGUGCUGCUUCGCAGAACCAGAAAACACGCAACACCUAUUCCUUCGAUGCCCAUUUAGCGUUAGAGUUUGGGACCAAAUAUAUUGUUGGAUUGGAGUUUCCUUUGUUCAAUAUCAUGAAACAGUUUCACACUUCUUACAACACGGAGCACUAAAGAGACGAAAAAGUAGCAGGAGGUUCGAGUUUCUACCGCGGGCGGCUACAGUCUAGUGUAUACGGCUGCGUCAGAACUACAUUCUCUUUAACGGAAAAUUAAUCGAUGUAAACUGCAUGGUGUCUCCGAUUAGAAUUACGUCAUGGAAUUGGUUAUUAGGUUGUAGGGGGAACAAGGAGGGGAUCCCUUACUUGAUUGGCGUGUAAGUCCCAUGGACUGUUUUUAAUUGAUACAACUUAGUACUCUAUUUGCUCCUAUUGGGUUGAGUAUAUGUGUGUGUGUGUGUAUAUAUAUAUAUAUAUAUAUAUAUAUAUAUCUUAUACUCCCCUUUAAUAAAAUUUGUUGCAUAUCGACAAAAAAAGAAAAAAGAAAUGCUUAUCCAAUACCCCAAUCACACUGGAUUUCAUUUUAUUCGGGUAUGUUAACAGUUUAUCUCAGACCAUAUUAAUAAUAUUUCUUAUAAAAACAAUAGGUUAUCUAACCAUGAUACUCCAUCAAAAUUAAAAAUUGAUAUGUGCAGAAACAAUUAUAGAGAGAGAGAGGACACCAAAAAUAAUCUAAUGAAAUAUUCACAUUACACAGAAUCAAUAUAUUUUUCUCUCAGACCAUAUUAAAUCGAAGCCAAUAUUGCAAGUGAAAAAUAGAAAUCCCACAUUUCCAACCAAGUAUACAGACUGAAUUAACUAAUUAACCAACUAACUACGAUAGUUUGGUAUGAUUUGAAAACUUUGGUGAUAUUUGUUGACAACUUUUGCGUCAACCUUCUUUUUCACAUAAUGCUUUUUAUUACAUUUGUUAUGUGUGAGGAACCUGGACACAGACCAUUAUUUGGGUAUGUUAACAUAAGACUUUGACAAGCACAUCAUGCGGGUGAACCUGGACUUGAGAGUUUCACAUAAUGCAGAAACAUUAUACAACCUUUCCGCAUAAUGUUUUACAAAACAAUAUACAUAGAGAGAAUCAAGUACAAAUGUAUUUCUUAGUAUUUAAGCUUAAGCCUAACUCAAUCCCAAAUACUAGCUCGUGAACUGAGCUUUUCCCCCCUCUUAUUGCUACUGUUUAGACCAUAUCAUUAUCCCCUGUGGACUGUCAACAAUAUCUAUAAAUCAAGAAGCGAGCUGUAACUUAUUUUGGAACAAAAGUGAGUUAUAAGUUAAAAGUUAGAAGUGAACAAUAUUACAACUUAUUUAGACCUAAAUAAUGGUUGUAUCCAGGUUCCUCCCAUGUAACAAAUGUAAUGUAUUCAAACUAAUAAUUAGAAAACAAUCCACUAAUGUGACACAAACUUUCAUGGAGAGCAAAGUUUCAUGUAUGUGCUUCAUUUGUUCAUGCACAUCUUCUACAACUAGGCCACUCUCCAAUUAUUCAUUUCAUUGCCAAAUCAAAAGCAUAACCAAAUACAAUUUUAACCAACUAACAAAAUAAACUAACCAGACCUAACUAAGUAACUAAUUAAACUAACAGUUUGUUUAUCAGUGACUAAUUGAUCUUAUAUUCAAGAACAUUACACACACGAGCAUGUCAAUCUCAUGCCACUGAAACCAUCAUUGAAGCAAUGACAUAGACCCAGACACCCGACAACACUAACACUUCGACACUGAACAACGACCUGUGAAGCAAUGAAGACAAACCCCGACACCAAACACACGUUGACACUAACACAUCGACACCGGACACGUCUUUUAUGAGAAGUGUCGACUCAUUUUCCAAAAUAGAAAUUAGGUCUCACCGACAUCGACGUGUUUGUCAAAGAUCGGGCACUGGCGGCAAUGUUGCCACCGGUGCUUUCUUUGGCUCUAGGAAGUUCUUUAUAGUAAAAACAUAAACAAUUGAGUUGUUUGAAACUCCAAGUUCUUGUAGUGAUUGAUUAUUAAAAACAUGAUCACCUUUGAAAGAUGAAGACUGCACUGACAUUUCGUUUAAUGGUAUAUGAGUGUAGACUUCAUGAAUCUUGUGUUUGAGUUGCAAAACGGUGUUGUUUAGGUUGAUUUCAUGAGGAAAUAAAUAACCAAAUCAAGAGAACAAUAAUAAAAAAACACAAAUAACACACAAUUCACAAUCUUUAUUAAAAAAACAAAUCAACAAAUCAUAGAAAAUAAGUAAAAAAUUCUUUUUCCCUAAAAAGAAAAAUUAACAAAGAACUGAGUUUUUGAUACAAAUCGAAAACAGCUAAUCUACAAUGAAGAUGAUAUCGCCAACUUCAACUAAUUUGAAAUUCGUCUUUGUAUCCAUUUGUUUCGCUUUCUGCAUCAAAGUAAAAUCUUGAGAAAGUAAAAGAAUUUCCCUCUGCUCCUCCACUUUCUUUAUCAGUCACCAACCUUUUGUAUUUGGCUAUAAAACAGCUUUGAUACUCAAGAUUGUAUUUUCGGCAAUAGCGCAAGCACAAGAAUGGUAUUCUCCAUGCAUGGAAACAGUGUCUUCAACAGCAUGUUCAAAGGGUGGUAGUGUCACCAAGAAUAGAACAUCUCAAUUUGACACUAACCUCUUCAGCUUCCACAAGAAUUUUAGCACCCAUGUCAAAAUUGAAGAUAGGGUAAUUGUGCUCUAUUGUGUGAUGGUUUUCCAUCACCUCAUCAUUACACCGCAUCCUUUGUUUCUCUCUAGGAUAACUGAACUUUUCUUUAUUUUUUUCUUUCAAUUCCAAGAUGCUGCUGUGAAUUUUCACCUCCAUGUUGAAUUCAUACCUCUCGAGUAUUGUCAACGCAAUCAUGUUGUUAGAGAAACUAGGAAUAUGAUUGAAUGGAAAAUGAAAUUUUUGUGAUGGUGGCUUAUUAUUUAUUUCUAACUAACUGAAUUAAAAAGAUCUAAUUGGCGGGAAGAGGAAAAUAGAAUGAAACUUGUGUUACAAGAUAUGGCAUGAUUGCCAGCAUGGCAUCAAUGUGUAACUGCCAAGACAACUCAGCAAAAAUAGAAAACUGAACCGUCUCGACAAAAAGCUAACUGAAUUAACUGGAGUUUGUAAGAGAAAAUUGUAACAUAAUAAUCUCACUAAAUAUACCAAAAAAGUAUAUAAAUAUACACUUAAACCAAAAUUCAUGAUAAAAAUUACGUAAGUCACUAAAUAAAUAACUUCAUGGUUUAAACAUGAAUUUAAUAAAAUUCUCUCUUUAAUAAAGUUAGGUUUUCAUCAAAAUAAAUUAUACUAUAUAAAUUGUUAUGAAAAAUCUACAAACUUUUUUUUUCCUAAACGAUUGGUAUGUAAAAAUCUAUAAAUCUAUUUAUGAAAAAUCUAUGAAUUAACUUUUAAGGUAUGUAAACUCUGAUCAACAAUUAUUCAAUCCAAGAAUAUAACUUGGAUUAUUCCGAAUGAUUUAUCCUCCGGUGAAGUCCAUUAACCACUUGAACUUCAUCCCUUAAUUUCUAUAAUUUGACUAUCACUGUUUUGUUAUAUUUUUAAUAAUUAAUAGAACCAAUUUUAUUUCAAAAAAAAUGAUAAUUAAUAUAACUAAUUCUUAUAAAAUGUUCUCAAGAAAGUAAGGAAAAAAAAGUGAAAUUAUGAUAGAGUUUGACAUCACUUUAUAUUUCUAACAUAUAUAAUAUUCAAUAUCACAUAACAAAUACAUGACUAUAAGAAUCACAUUCAUUUCAUGAGAAUGAGAAAAAAUCAAUUAUGUAUGACUUAUUUAAUAUUUUAUUAAGAGAUAUAUUGGUGGUGUUGUGCACAUAGUUAGUGGUGUUUUUUUUUUUUUGAUUGAAAUACAUGGCUACAAGAUUCAUAUUUAAUUCAUGAGAAUAAGAAUGAGAAAGAAUCAACUUCGAAUGAUUUACCUAAUAUUCAAAAUUGACAUAGUUAUUUUGUUUUAUGAUUUUUUUAAUUAAUAUUUGUAACAUUAAUUUUCUAAAUUAAAAGUGAAAUCAUCAAUUUUAAAUUAAAUUAUUGACUAAGAGUAUCCAAGUUUGAUUUCUAAUUAAAAUAAUUUUUUUUUUAGGUUUUACUUAUCUCUUAGACGAACUUCUGAUUAUCAAAACUGUUUUAUCCUAUCAAAGUUGGAGGGAUAAGACCCAAUCUUAAAUUUUUAUUCAACUAUUAAAAUUUCCAAUAUCAAUUUUUAUUCAUUCUUGUAUAUGACUUUCUACUACAAUAAUCUUAACUUGUUGUAUUUGAACGAAGACCCAUUUUGACCCUUCACAAUUUUCUGUCGGAUCAAUUCAACCUUUGACAAAAAUAGAACCCAGAUUAGUCCUUGAAAUUUUUAUUCCAAGAGAAUUCACUCAUUUUACUUUUGUCCAUUUUUUUUAUAAAAGAGUUUUUUUUUAAGGAUAAAAUUACGAGUUUGUAAAUGAUUCUUUUGAAAUAGCUUACCAAAAAUAAAUAAAUACAUAUGUAUUGAUGUAAUUAUUAUAUUCAUUUUAAAACUUAUCUGCCUUUGCACUGUUUGGGUGGUUUGGAAUGAAAGGAACCACAAACUCUUCUCUAAUAAAGCUGAAUCGGUUAUGCAGCUAAUGGAAAAAGUAAAACUUUGUUCAUAGGUUGGCUGAUAGCUAAUAGUGUCGGUUUUUCUUUUGGUUAUUAUAUGUGGUGGCAUCAACUUCUUAAUUGUUUGUGUAUAGGUUGACUGUCGUUUUUUCUUUUUUCAUUAGGAUACUAUGUUGUAACUUUGAUUAGCUCUCUUAUUCAUACCUUGUGUUAGAGAGUAGCUUUUUUCCAUUGUGAUAAUAUAUUUUAUUUUAGUUUGUUAAAAAAAAAUACUUCAAAAGGUACAAAGAAUAUGAAUUUUCCAACACUAUUUUUAGUGCAGAAAAAGUAUCCAAUAAAAUGAAAAUGGAUUGUACGUUUGUUCAAAAAUAUCAUAUUUGUAGAGAGAAAAAUGACGAUAAAGAUAAUAAAGGGAGUAGUUUUUUUUUUUUGAAUAAUGAAUGCAUACCAUUUUCGGAUCCUUUGAUUUGAUGACAAUAAAGAGAGAGAAAAAAAAAAAAAAAAAGAGAGAGAAAUAGUUCUUCAAAAGUUGUCACACAAAAUUGGUUGUAGAAAUAUCAUUCCUUGUAAACUUCACCCACUGACACUUCCCUUAAAAAAAACACUAGUAAACACUUAAUUAUUAUUAUUAUACUCAUCACUCGCGCGUAUUUCAAUUCAUUCAUUCUCCCACCCAUUUCCUCUUCCUCAAUGGAGAAACAAAACACCGUCGUUUUGUUAAUCACAUUGGUUAUUCUAAUCACCGCCGCAACAACAACCGUAAAAAGCGAGGAUGAAUCAAAAACAAAACUACUAGUGAAAUACUCACACGGAAAGAAGUAUUGUGACAAAGGUUGGGAAUGUAAAGGUUGGUCGAUUUAUUGUUGCAAUUUAACCAUAACUGAUUAUCUUCAAACCUAUCAAUUCGAGAAUCUGUUUUCCAAGCGAAACUCGCCCAUUGCUCAUGCUGUUGGGUUUUGGGAUUAUCACUCUUUUAUAACUGCCGCGGCGGUUUUCGAGCCAUUGGGUUUUGGUACCACUGGGAAUAAGACUUUGAAGAUGAUGGAGAUUGCCGCAUUUCUUGGUCACGUUGGUAGCAAAACCUCUUGUAAGAUUUUUAUUUUUAGUCACUUAAUUGUUUGAUUUUGCUGAAAUGUGUGUUUGUAGUGAAGUGAUUAUUGGAAUUGCGUUUGGUGGAUUAGUUGGUAUGUUUGGUUUGAUUUAGAUUUCUAAGGAAAAAAAUUAUGACUUGUUAGGGUUAAAUGUGGUAUAUUUUGUGAUUGGAUUAGUUUAAGCAAAAAAAAUUCAGAUUGAAAAAAAUAAUAAUCAUGGAUUGGUAUAUUUAAGUGUAAUGGAGAAGAUUUUAGAUUUGAGUUUACAAUGUUUGAAAUUAUGGGUGAAUUGGAUUGUUGUUGUCUGAUUGAUUAGUUUGUUGUAGAUCUUGAUUUGUUGAAUUGCAUACAUUACAUUUUUUGCGAGAGAUAAUGAUGUAUCAACUGUUUAGUUCUAGCUAUAUGGUUGCUAGUGAAUUAUGUAAAGAAUUGAGUUUUUGUUGAUGUUGUCGUCGUCGUCGACUUGAUUUAUGAUUGAAUUGGCGUGUGACAUGUUUGAUGGUAAGAUAGAAACCGUUCAGAGUGGAUCGAGGAGCAGAGUGGCUGACCUCCAAAGCGGUAUAGAGGAUAGUGACCAAUAUUUAGGACAUUCUUAAUUAAUAAUAGAAGUUUAUCUUGAUUAUUUUCAAGUAAUUGGAUUGGAUUUUUAUUUGUGUUAAGGUGGUCUGGUGUUUGAACAGGAAAUGAAAAUUGCCUUGCUCUUUCAAUUUGUCCUUCAGUUGGUCUAGGGGCUUUUUGUAUUGAUUGUAAUCUAGUUUGGAUUGGAUCAUAUUGGUGAAUCUGAUCUGGGGUGGUUUCAUUGUGCUCCAAUUUUGUUUCAGUUCUGUUGGUUUUAGUGUCGGAUGGUGAAGAAUGUAGCCAAUCACGUGCCACAGCACCUCGACUGUGCUUCGACUUUACUAUGGUUCGGUUUUGCUCUGUUUCCUCUGUUUUUUCCAUUUUUCCACCGUUUCCUCUGUUUUUUUCCGUUUUUCCUCUGUUUCCUCUGUUUUUCUCUAUUUUGUUGCUUGAUUUUGUUUUUCCUCUAUUGUGUCUGUUUUUAUGCUUGGUUCCUCUGUUUUCCGUCUAUUUUCUAUCUCUAUUUCUCUCAACUCUAUCAACAACCUACCGAUCCUACUUACGAACCGUGUUACGUUCCUUGUGUUUACGUUCUUUCACCGGCCGACCGAUCCUACAUAGGAUCUCGAUCCUGACUACAUUCGUGAAGAUGGUUAUACAUUCUGACAUUGGAUUCAACUUCAGUAGUAAGUGCUAUUAUUUCCUCUGUCUUCAUCAUCAUCAGGGCCAGGCCAAGGUUUCAUCUGUUCUGCAGAAUUAGGUACCGGUUGUAGCAGCAGCGGUAGGCGCUUUGUUGGUCUAGUCUCCGGUUCUUUUGCAGCACAUGUAGAGUCUCUUUGUUUGUAUAUUGUCAGAAACAGGUGUAUGUUAUUCAAGUGCUCUCAUAUGUGCAUCUUUUAUGUGUGAUUGUUUUAGGUGUUGUUAGGGCUAUUGCCCCUCAGUCUAUCUAAAGUAACGUUGUAUAUUCACUUGUAGGUACCUCUGGUACCUUAUCUUAUUUCAUAGAUUUAAAUUCUAUUUUGCCUCAAAAAAAUAAAAAAUAAACUAGAAGUUUAAUGUUGCUAAUAUUCAAACUAUGUAAAGCAAAUAAGUUAUAGGGUAAAAUGACUAAAAGUCCAAAAAGAACAGAGGGAAUAGCUGUCAGUUGAGGGUAUGUUUGAGUUUUUAAAGUAGUUUCGCUGCAUUGGCCAAGUACCCUUACUAAAAAAUGCAAUGCAACGGGGUUGCACAUAGCGCCUAGGGCUGCUACGCAACGCCGCUAUAGCAGCUGCUACUGACUACAUAGAUAAACACUUGUUUGGUGAAAGUUCUUUUGUUUGAUAGAUCGGUCUUAGGUUUAACAUUUGUAUAGUAGAACUUGAUAAUGGUGCAAUGAUUGAUUUGGUUGGGUUUGAAUUUUUAGAAUUUGGUUAUUUAUUGUUCUUGUAAUGCUGAUGACAGGUGGAUAUGGAGCGGCAGAUGGAGGACCUUUGGCGUGGGGUCUCUGUUACAAUCACGAAAUGAGUCCUAGCCAGUCAUAUUGUGAUGACUAUUUCAAAUUCACAUACCCCUGUACUCCUGGGGCUGAAUACUAUGGGCGUGGAGCCAUUCCUAUUUACUGGUAUGUAUACUUCUAGCAUUACUAAAUACUACGUUAUGUAGCAACGACACUUCUAAUUGAAGGCAUGUCUGACGUGUCAAUACAUGACACCAACACAAAUGCAUGUGAUUAGAUUCAAUUAAUCUCAAAUUAUUAUUGGUCGACGUGUCAGUGUCGUGUCCGAUUUCCGUGCUUCAUAGAUAGAAGGCCUUUUUUUCCUUCUUGUUUUGGGACAAAAGGUAGCUGGUUUUACAAGUUUCUUUCCUGUUCCUUAAUCUCUGAUAUGUUUGUCAUUAAACUUGCUGAUGUUAUUUUGAGGGUUCCCCAAUAUGCCUCACCAGUGUACCAAAUUAAUCAGACUUGUUGAAGGGUAACACUUAACCCAACUUGCAAGAUUAUUUUUUUAUCGGAAAUGUUGGCAACAUUUCCCCACUUAGGAAGAAAAAUCGUACAACAUAUUUGAAUGCGGGUGAUCUUAAAAAUCAGUUCAUCCUAAGCACCGCAAUGACUGAUCAUUGAUCUCUUUAGCAAAAACAGUUAUGGUUUGAACUUCCUUUGUUGUGUAAAUGUCACAUUUGGCCCACACGAUUAGAAGAGUGGAAAGCCUUUAAGAUAUUAUUUAACACCCCAUUGUGGCAAUUAUAGAUCCUUCAAAUUAUCAUCAAGAGAGUGUUAAUUGAUCAUCGCAAAGUUUUGAAAGAUUAGAGCGCAAAUAGUCUGGUGUAAUAGGAGAUAAAAUAAAAAUAUAAAAUAUAAAAGCACGGGAAAAUGGAUAGAAUAUUGAGCAGCUGAUUGGUGAAAGAGAGACAUUGAAGUGUAUAGCUGGGUUUUGUGUGGACGAUAUACGAAGUUAUCAUUAAUACAUUUGAAUGCAUGUGCAGGUUUUCUACAACACUAGCCGAUUCUAAAACUUUCAGAUUUUUUUCACUGUUUACCUUUAUAUUGUACAAUAAGCAAGUUACUAAUUUUUGUGGAUGUGGUUGAUGUUUGACCAUAUGGGUAAGAUGACAAUCGAUGAUGAUAUAAGUUAGCAUGUUUCUUCUAGCAUUUAGGCAAAAAGAAAUUCCUGUGAAGAUCUAAACCAGAAAUGCGAGCACACUUCUAUAAAAAGCAGUUGAGCUGGUUU
rnacentral:lncRNA from 1 species